rnacentral:misc_RNA from 1 species
CUAAGGAAACAAUUAUCAUCUUCAGUUUUGAGAGACUUAAGAAAGUUUUUCAUUGUCACUUGCUUGCAAAUUGUAUUUGCAACAUUUUAAUCUUUUUAAGAUUAAGGGCCUAUAGCUCAGUUGGUUAGAGCACACGCCUGAUAAGCGUGAGGUCGGUGGUUCAAGUCCAUUUAGGACCACCAUAACCACAAAUAGGCAAAAUCUUAAAAAAGCUCUUUGAAAAGUAGAUAAACGAAGGUUAAAAAAUC